UACGUAGGGACCAAGCGUUGUCCGGAAUCAUUGGGCGUAAAGAGCGUGUAGGCGGCUUGUUAAGUCUUGCGUGAAAUCUCGGGGCUCAACCCCGAGCGGUCGUGAGAAACUGGCAGGCUAGAGUGCGGGAGAGGAGAGUGGAAUUCCUGGUGUAGCGGUGAAAUGCGCAGAUAUCAGGAGGAACACCGAGUGCGAAGGCAG
rnacentral:rRNA from 1 species